AUUGAACGCUUGCGGCAGGCCUAACACAUGCAAGUCGAACGAGUGGCGGACGGGUGAGUAAUGUCUGGGCACCUGCCUGAUGUAGGGGGAUAACUACUGGAAACCGUUGCUAAUACCGCUUACCAUCGUAUGUGCCCAGAUGGGAUUAGCUAGUAGGUGGGGUAAAGGCUCACCUAGGCGACGAUCCCUAGCUGGUCUGAGAGGCUGACCAGCCACACUGGGACUGAGACACGGUCCAGACUCCUACGGGAGGCAGCAGUGGGGAAUAUUGCACAAUGGGCGCAAGCCUGAUGCAGCCAUGCCGCGUGUAUGAAGAAGGCCUUCGGAUUGUAAAGUACUUUCGGCGGGGAGGCGUUAGCCGCAGAAGAAGCACCGGCUAACUACGUGCCAGCAGCCGCGGUAAUAC
rnacentral:rRNA from 1 species